rnacentral:rRNA from 1 species
AUACGGAGGAUGCAAGCGUUAUCCGAAUUUAUUGGGUUUAAAGGGUGCGUAGGCGGAUGAUUAAGCGUGAGGUGAAAUGCCACUGCUCAACAGUGGAACUGCCUCGCGAACUGGUUGUCUUGAAUGCUCCUGCCGUGGGAGGAAUGUGUAGUGUAGCGGUGAAAUGCAUAGAGAUCACACAGAACACCGAUUGCGAAGGCAUCUCACGAAGGGGUGAUUGACGCUGAGGCACGAAAGCGUGGGGAUCAAACAGGAUUAGAUACCCUGGUAGUCCACGCAGUAAACGAUGAUAACUAACAGCUGGGUCGUAGUGAUUCAGUGGCCAAGCGAAAGCGAUAAGUUAUCCACCUGGGGAGUACGACCGCAAGGUUGAAACUCAAAUGAAUUGACGGGG